GAUCAUGGCUCAGGGUGAACGCUAGCUACAGGCUUAACACAUGCAAGUCGAGGGGCAGCAUGGUCUUAGCUUGCUAAGGCCGAUGGCGACCGGCGCACGGGUGAGUAACACGUAUCCAACCUGCCGUCUACUCUUGGACAGCCUUCUGAAAGGAAGAUUAAUACAAGAUGGCAUCAUGAGUUCACAUGUUCACAUGAUUAAAGGUAUUCCGGUAGACGAUGGGGGUG
rnacentral:rRNA from 1 species